UUUUGCCGGUCGCGUACGCUGGUACGUGCCGUGCUUGCCCUGCAGGCUAUGCGGCAUGCCUCAAUGCCUUCGCUGCCGCUUAGCUGGUGCGUUCUAAUUGCCAAGAGCCUCUACUGACGCCCAUACAAACAAGCCACAAGGACCGUGAAUGCACGUGGUUUCCUGUCCUGGGCCAGGGCUCGCCCUGCAGCUUUGCCUGCAGACUGGUGUCGGUGCCCCUGGAGUGUUUAUUUUUUUUUCGCAAUGGAGUCAACACAUUGCCCGUGGCGAUCGUUCCCACAGAUGGUGGAUUCCUCCGGUUGACCGCAUCAGAAAUUUUCCAGGAGGAGCUGCGCAAUAACCGAACAUUGUCAAAUCAAUUGUGAAAUCCCAUUUUUAUUUCUCUUCAUUACCGAAACGAAUCGACACCGCAAGUUGCAGCCUUGAAGUACUUAGGGAUAACUUAUGAUGGUAAGAUAAACUGGCAGCAACAAUGUCGAAUUAAAUGCUAGAAAAGCGGAACAUGGCAUCGUUGCUCCGGUUCAGUAUAAUGAGAACACAGGGAUGCGUAGAGCUACGUUGCUUAUGAUUUAUAAACUUUGCGUACGCCCCAUUCA